rnacentral:lncRNA from 1 species
CAUUCCUCAUAGGAGAGGUGCUCCAGUCCCUUCAUCAUCUUUGUGGCUCUUUGUUGGUCUCUGUCCAGUAGGUCCAUGUCUCUCUUGUACUGGGCAACCCAGAACUGGACACAGCACUCCCAUUGUGGCCUCAUCAGUGCUGAGCAGAGGACCUCCCCUGGGACCAGCUGACCAGUCAGUUUUCAGUACACCUCAUUGUCUGUUCAUCUAGCCCAUAAAUCAGCAGCUUAUCUAUGGGAAUUUUAUGGGAGACAGUGUCAAAGGCUUUACUGAAGUCCAGGUAGACAAUAACCACAGCACACCCUUCAUUUACCAGGCUAGUCACUUGUAGGUAAAAUGACUGUAGAAACUAUAUUAAGAAAACCCAUGCUUAAUGUUGGUUGAUUUCAAAGGAAGAAAAUGUGUGAAAGCAUUUGCUAAAUAAGGAUGAGUUUAAUUCAUAAAAUCUUCUACCAAAUGGUCCUGAAAACAAAUGGAAGAGCUCAGAGGUAUAGCAGGAAUUCAGAUCCUGCCUGGACUGGAUGAUUCUUUUUGCUGCAGAACUAAUGAAACCAUGACUGCGCAAGACACAAGAAAAAGAGAUAUUACAAAGAAAUAGGGUUUCAACACAAUUGUUUAAAAGGAACAAGGAAUCGAUUCCUCACUGAUUAAAAAAAUAAAUAAGGCCACUAACUAAAUUCCA